rnacentral:rRNA from 1 species
AGCGAACGCUGGCGGCAGGCUUAACACAUGCAAGUCGAGCGGGCAUCCUUGUGGUGUCAGCGGCAGACGGGUGAGUAACGCGUGGGAACGUGCCCUUCGGUUCGGAAUAACUCAGGGAAACUUGAGCUAAUACCGGAUACGUGCGAGAGCAGAAAGGUUUAUCUGCCGAAGGAUCGGCCCGCGUCUGAUUAGCCAGUUGGUGAGGUUAUGGCUCACCAAGGCGACGAUCAGUAGCUGGUCUGAGAGGAUGAUCAGCCACACUGGGACUGAGACACGGCCCAGACUCCUACGGGAGGCAGCAGUGGGGAAUAUUGGACAAUGGGGGCAACCCUGAUCCAGCCAUGCCGCGUGAGUGAUGACGGCCUUAGGGUUGUAAAGCUCUUUUCUUCGGGACGAUAAUGACGGUACCGGAGGAAUAAGCCCCGGCUAACUUCGUG